rnacentral:tRNA from 1 species
GCCGACGUAGCUCAAUGGAAGAGCACUUGACUGUGGAUCAGGGGGUUACGGGUUCAAAUCCCGUCGUCGGUU